rnacentral:rRNA from 1 species
GACGAAGGGGGCUAGCGUUGUUCGGAAUGACUGGGCGUAAAGGGCGCGUAGGCGGCUUAUCAAGUCAGGUGUGAAAGCCUUGGGCUUAACCCAAGAAUUGCGCUUGAUACUGAUAAGCUAGAGGAUGAUAGAGGAAAGCGGAAUUCCUAGUGUAGAGGUGAAAUUCGUAGAUAUUAGGAAGAACACCAGAGGCGAAGGCGGCUUUCUGGAUCAUAUCUGACGCUGAGGCGCGAAAGCGUGGGGAGCAAACAGG